rnacentral:piRNA from 1 species
AAGAUUCUGUAUUGCUCAUAAUA